rnacentral:snRNA from 1 species
AUCGCUUCUCGGCCUUUUGGCUAAGAUCAAGUGUAGUAUCUGUUCUUAUCAGUUUAAAAACAUUUUUUACACCUGGUAUUUAAAACAAAACAACAACAAAAAAAGGCCAGGCUGUGCUGAACCAAUUUGCACCCUAGGGACUCUGUCCUGAGGUUCCGUAAAGCCCUUUUGAUAGGUCUGUCC